rnacentral:rRNA from 1 species
UACGUAGGGGGCAAGCGUUGUCCGGAUUUAUUGGGCGUAAAGAGCGUGUAGGCGGUUUGGUAGGUCCGUUGUGAAAACUCGAGGCUCAACCUCGAGACGCCGAUGGAAACCAUCAGACUAGAGUCCGGAAGAGGAGAGUGGAAUUCCUGGUGUAGCGGUGAAAUGCGCAGAUAUCAGGAGGAACACGGGUGGCGAAGGCGGAUCUCUGGGCCAUGACUGACGCUGAGGAGCGAAAGCGUGGGGAGCGAACAGG